GAGUUUGAUCCUGGCUCAGGAUGAACGCUAGCGGCAGGCUUAACACAUGCAAGUCGAGGGGUAGUAAGUGCUUGCACUUAUGAGACCGGCGCACGGGUGCGUAACGCGUAUGCAAUCUGCCUUUCACAAAGGGAUAGCCCAGAGAAAUUUGGAUUAAUACCUUAUGGUAUAUUGAUGUGGCAUCACAUUAUUAUUAAAGAUUUAUCGGUGAAGAUGAGCAUGCGUCCCAUUAGCUAGUUGGUAAGGUAACGGCUUACCAAGGCGACGAUGGGUAGGGGUCCUGAGAGGGAGAUCCCCCACACUGGUACUGAGACACGGACCAGACUCCUACGGGAGGCAGCAGUGAGGAAUAUUGGUCAAUGGGCGCAAGCCUGAACCAGCCAUGCCGCGUGCAGGAUGACGGUCCUAUGGAUUGUAAACUGCUUUUGUACGGGAAGAAACACCAAUUCGUGAAUUGGCUUGACGGUACCGUAAGAAUAAGGAUCGGCUAACUCCGUGCCAGCA
rnacentral:rRNA from 1 species